rnacentral:rRNA from 1 species
UACGUAGGGUGCGAGCGUUGUCCGGAAUUACUGGGCGUAAAGGGCUUGUAGGUGGUUUGUCGCGUUGUUCGUGAAAUCCCGUGGCUUAACUGCGGGCGUGCGGGCGAUACGGGCAGACUGGAGUACUGCAGGGGAGACUGGAAUUCCUGGUGUAGCGGUGGAAUGCGCAGAUAUCAGGAGGAACACCGGUGGCGAAGGCGGGUCUCUGGGCAGUAACUGACGUUGAGAAGCGAAAGCGUGGGGAGCGAACAGG